ACAGCCUCUCUGUAAUGUUUAUGCAAAUCUGCAUCUCCUCUUGUAAUAUUAGCAGCGUUCUGAUCUAGAGAGGAAACACUUCUCAUUAGUCUUCCUUCAACACAAACAUGUUUGCUUCAGCUCCACUGCUGCUGCUGGCUCUCGCCCCCUAUGUGUUCUGUGCUACUGAGCUCAUCCAGCCAGACUCACUGCUUAUAAAGCCAGGAGAGACUUUAACCAUCACCUGUAAAGUGUCUGGAGCUUCUAUCACUGAUAGUAGCAACCACUUUGGAACAUCUUGGGUUCAACAACCUGCAGGAAAAGCUUUAGAAUGGAUCAACACCAUGUAUCAUGAUGGAAAUAGUCAUCAAAAAGAUUCACUUAAAGACAAGUUUGUGGUCUCUCGAGACACUUCCAGUAACUCUGUGACCUUACGGGGACAGAACAUGCAGACUGAAGACACAGCUGUGUAUUACUGCGCUCGUUAUCCACACAGUGACACGACAAGCUGCAGUGCUGCACAAAAACCUCAUCACAAUUCACUUCUUUAAUUAAAUAACAACUACAUUUUACUGAGUAACUAAUCCCCAUAUUACAAAUAUUUCAGCAUAGACACCAACACUGGUAUUAAAGAGUGGACUAGCUUAUUGAUCACUUGAGUGGAGUUCUCAGGAGCUUGACAUUUCAUAGCAAUGUGUCCGUCCUCUCACGUAUUUCAUUUAGUAAGUUCAAGAAAGUAGGUGGUCGCUUUUUUCUCUCCCUUAGUCGCAACUGCAGGAGCAUCAUGUCUGA